rnacentral:tRNA from 2 species
GGGCCUAUAGCUCAGUCGGUUAGAGCGCUUCGCUGAUAACGAAGAGGUCGCAAGUUCGAUUCUUGCUAGGCCCACCA